GUGGGUGGCUCAGUGGUAGAGUGCUUGCUUUGCAUGCAUGAGGCCCUGGGUUUGAUUCCUCAGCAUCACA
rnacentral:tRNA from 1 species